rnacentral:rRNA from 1 species
UACGGGGGGAGCAAGCGUUGUUCGGAUUUACUGGGCGUAAAGGGCGCGUAGGCGGUCAGUGCAAGUCAGUUGUGAAAUCUCCGAGCUUAACUCGGAAAGGUCAACUGAUACUGCUCGACUAGAGUGCGGAAGGGGCAACUGGAAUUCUUGGUGUAGCGGUGAAAUGCGUAGAUAUCAAGAGGAACACCUGCGGCGAAGGCGGGUUGCUGGGCCGACACUGACGCUGAUGCGCGAAAGCUAGGGGAGCGAACGGGG